rnacentral:rRNA from 1 species
AGUGAACGCUGGCGGUAGGCCUAACACAUGCAAGUCGAACGGCAGCACAGUAAGAGCUUGCUCUUACGGGUGGCGAGUGGCGGACGGGUGAGGAAUACAUCGGAAUCUACUUUUUCGUGGGGGAUAACGUAGGGAAACUUACGCUAAUACCGCAUACGACCUACGGGUGAAAGCAGGGGAUCUUCGGACCUUGCGCGAGUGAAUGAGCCGAUGUCGGAUUAGCUAGUUUGCGGGGUAAAGGCCCACCAAGGCGACGAUCCGUAGCUGGUCUGAGAGGAUGAUCAGCCACACUGGAACUGAGACACGGUCCAGACUCCUACGGGGGGCAGCAGUGGAGAAUAUUGGACGAUGGGCGCGAGCCUGAUCCAGCCAUACCGCGUGGGUGAAGAAGGCCUUCGGGUUGUAAAGCCCUUUUGUUGGGAAAGAAAAGCAGCAGGUUAAUCCCCCGCUGUUCUGACGGUACCCAAAGAAUAAGCACCGGCUAACUUCGUG